AGCAGCCGCGGUAAUUCCAGCUCCAAUAGCGUAUAUUAAAGUUGUUGCAGUUAAAAAGCUCGUAGUUGAAUUUCGGGAUCAAUAUAUCGGUCGUGCCUCGGUACGUACUGGUAUCAUUGGUUUCUCCUUUCUGACGAACCAUGAUGUCAUUAAUUUGGUGUUAUGGGAAGUUAGGACUGUUACUUUGAAAAAAUUAGAGUGUUUAAAGCAGGCUUUAGCUUGAAUACAUUAGCAUGGAAUAAUGAAAUAGGACGUUCGAACCUAUUUUGUUGGUUUCUAGGAUCAACGUAAUGAUUAAUAGGAAUAGUUGGGGGCAUUAGUAUUCAAUUGUCAGAGGUGAAAUUCUUGGAUUUAUUGAAGACUAACUACUGCGAAAGCAUUUGCCAAGGAUGUUUUCAUUAAUCAAGAACGAAAGUUAGGGGAUCGAAGACGAUCAGAUACCGUCGUAGUCUUAACCAUAAACUAUGCCGACUAGGGAUCGGAUGAUGUAAUUUUUAAUGACUCAUUCGGCGCCUUACGG
rnacentral:rRNA from 1 species